GCCUAUCCCUUCUCCAGCAGAUCUUCUGACCCAGGAAUCCAGAUCUCUUAUAAUUUCUAAGGGAGAAUGUGACACAGUGAGUGCUGAGAAGCCAGAGAGUGACACAAUGAACCUGUUUCUGAUGCAGCCAUUCUAGUUGCACUUGGCUAUCUUCUUUGAAACAAGAAGAAUGUGGUAACUCAGGGUAAUUUUUGUCACCUGAAAAUAGAUAAUGUUUAUUGAAACAAAGGAUGGGUUAAGAGCAAGAAUUUGUCAUGAGACUGGACUGACUCAAGUUUCAAAUCUACCCUUUACUGUCUCUCUGAUCAUGAAAAGGUACCUAAAAUCUCCAAGUCUCAAUUAUCUUAUUUGCAAAUGGAACUAACAAUAAUUUCUGUGUCUUGGAGUUAUUUGGUAGGUUAAAUAAAUUCAUGCAUAUAAAGCAUUUAUUAGUGUAAAUGAGUGCUUAUGUUUGGUCAUGCAAGCAGAAUAUUUUGACUAAUGAGCUACUGCAGAAAAUCUUAUAUUUAAUGUUUUUUAAAAGAAUUUAAGGAUCAAUUAAAAUGGUUGAAGUUUUAAAUGGAUGUAUAGUGAUUUUGAUGUGGCACUUUCAUUAAAAUUCACAUUUUUGGGUUCUUGAGAGUUAAAAAAAAGUUGUUUAUACAUGCAGGAAAGCAUAUAUUAAUCCUUUUAAAGGAAAGGUUUGUGGUAUUUUGUCUAGAAAUUUCUUCUUGUAUAAAUGUUUAGUAAGUGUGUAAUAUGUGAUUGCUGUCAUAUGAUUAAAUUGUGUUCAUGCUGCUUACAGCAUAUGAAUAAAAUAAGAAAUUGGUCAGGUA